rnacentral:rRNA from 1 species
GACGAACGCUGGCGGCGUGCUUAACACAUGCAAGUCGAACGGAAAGGCCCUGCUUUUGUGGGGUGCUCGAGUGGCGAACGGGUGAGUAACACGUGAGUAACCUGCCCUUGACUUUGGGAUAACUUCAGGAAACUGGGGCUAAUACCGGAUAGGAGCUCCUGCUGCAUGGUGGGGGUUGGAAAGUUUCGGCGGUUGGGGAUGGACUCGCGGCUUAUCAGCUUGUUGGUGGGGUAGUGGCUUACCAAGGCUUUGACGGGUAGCCGGCCUGAGAGGGUGACCGGCCACAUUGGGACUGAGAUACGGACCAGACUCCUACGGGAGGCAGCAGUGGGGAAUAUUGCACAAUGGGCGGAAGCCUGAUGCAGCAACGCCGCGUGCGGGAUGACGGCAUUCGGGUUGUAAACCGCUUUCGCCUGUGAUGAAGCGUGAGUGACGGUAAUGGGUAAAGAAGCACCGGCUAACUACGUG